ACUUUCUUAGUACAAACAGUACAAAUGACUUCCAAUCAUUUAAUCUUGGUUUAAAUCCGAGAGAAAGUA
rnacentral:tRNA from 1 species